rnacentral:rRNA from 1 species
GUUAAAAAGCUCGUAGUUGGAUUUCUGUCGAGGGCGGCCGGUCCGCACUAUGUGCGUGUAUCUGGUUCGGUCUUGGCAUCCUCUUGGGGAUCGUUCGUGUGCUUGACUACAUGCGACGGAAUUCAAGACUUUUACUUUGAGGAAAUUAGAGUGUUCACGGCAAGCUAUCGCUUUGAAUACAUUAGCAUGGAAUAAUAAUAUAGGGCGUAAGUUCUAUCUUGUUGGUUCAUAGAAAAUACGCAAUGAUUAAUAGGGAUAAUUGGGGGCACUCGUAUUAACGCGUCAGAGGUGGAAUUCUUAGAUUGCGUUACGACGAACUACUGCGAAAGCAUUUGCCAAGGAUGUUUUCAUUGAUCAAGAACGAAAGUAUGGGGAUCGAAGACGAUUAGAUACCGUCGUAGUCUAUACCAUAAACUAUGCCAACUAGAGAUCGGAGGUCGUUUUAUUUAUGACUCCUUCGGCACCUUAUGAGAAAUCAAAGUUUUUGGGUUCCGGGGGGAGUAUGGUCGCAAGGCUGAAACUUAAAGG